AUUGAACGCUGGCGGCAUGCCUUACACAUGCAAGUCGAACGGUAGCGGGCCUUCGGGUGCCGACGAGUGGCGAACGGGUGAGUAAUGUAUCGGAACGUACCUUUCAGUGGGGGAUAACGUAGCGAAAGUUGCGCUAAUACCGCAUAUUCUGUGAGCAGGAAAGCAGGGGAUCGCAAGACCUUGCGCUGAUUGAGCGGCCGAUAUCAGUUUAGCUAGUUGGUGAGGUAAAGGCUCACCAAGGCGACGAUCUGUAGCGGGUCGGAGAGGAUGAUCCGCCACACUGGAACUGAGACACGGUCCAGACUCCUACGGGAGGCGGCAGUGGGGAAUUUUGGACAAUGGGGGCAACCCUGAUCCAGCCAUGCCGCGUGAGUGAAGAAGGCCUUCGGGUUGUAAAGCUCUUUCGGCCGGGAAGAAAUCGUAUCAGCUAAUACCUGGUGCGGAUGACGGUACCGGCAUAAGAAGCACCGGCUAACUACGUGCCAGCAGCCGCAGUAACAC
rnacentral:rRNA from 1 species